rnacentral:rRNA from 1 species
UACGAAGGGGGCUAGCGUUGCUCGGAAUUACUGGGCGUAAAGGGCGCGUAGGCGGCUUUUCAAGUCGGGCGUGAAAUCUCCGGGCUUAACCCGGAAGGGUCGUUCGAUACUGUUGAGCUAGAGUGUGGAAGAGGCAACUAGAAUUCCGUGUGUAGCGGUGAAAUGCGUAGAUAUACGGAGGAAUACCUGAGGCGAAGGCGGGUUGCUGGGCCAACACUGACGCUGAGGCGCGAAAGUUAGGGUAGCAAACGGG